rnacentral:rRNA from 1 species
GAUUUCUGGUUUAAUGCACCUGGCCCGCAGCCCUCAAGGCUUGUGAGUGCCGGCGCGCGUUUACCAUCCUUCUAGAAAUCAAUUCUGCCAUUUGCUUGGUGGGGUUGCAAUUCUAGAUCUUUUACUUUGAAAAAAUUAGAGUGUUUAAAGCAGGCUUUUGCUAUGAAUACAUUAGCAUGGAAUAAUAAUCUAGGACUUCGGUUCUAUUUUGUUGGUUUCUAUAACUGAAGUAAUGAUUGAUAGGGACAGUUGGGGGUGCUAGUAUUGGCCGGCCAGAGGUGAAAUUCUUGGAUUCGGUCAAGACUAACUUAUGCGAAAGCAUU